rnacentral:rRNA from 1 species
AAUCAACGCUGGCGGCGCGCUUAACACAUGCAAGUCGAACGAGAAAGCAGGAGCAAUCCUGUGAGUAAAGUGGCGUACGGGUGAGUAACACGUGGAAAUCUACCUCUUGGCGGGGAAUACCUCUGGGAAACCGGAGACAAUACCGCAUAAGCUCGGAAGAGGAAACCCUGCAAAGGGGCCGAGAGAGGAGUCCGCGGCCGAUUAGCUAGUUGGUAGGGUAAAGGCCUACCAAGGCAAAGAUCGGUAGCCGGCCUGAGAGGGCACACGGCCACACUGG